CGUGUCUGAAGAAGGACCUCGGGUUGUAAGGACUUUGUCAGGGAGCAAAACUACUGGUUAAUACCUGGUGAGGUUGAGAGUACCUGAAGAAUAAGCACCGGCUAACUACGUGCCAGCAGCCGCGGUAAUACGUAGGGUGCAAGCGUUAAUCGGAAUUACUGGGCGUAAAGCGUGCGCAGGCGGACUUUUAAGCCAGAUGUGAAAGCCCCGAGCUUAACUUGGGAAUUGCGUUUGGAACUGGGAGUCUAGAGUCUGUCAGAGGGGGAUGGAAUUCCACGUGUAGCAGUGAAAUGCGUAGAGAUGUGGAGGAACACCGAUGGCGAAGGCAGUCCCCUGGGAUAAGACUGACGCUCAUGCACGAAAGCGUGGGGAGCAAACAGGAUUAGAUACCCUGGUAGUCCACGCCCUAAACGAUGUCUACUAGUUGUUGGGGGUAGCAAUACCUCAGUGACGCAGCUAACGCGUGAAGUAGACCGCCUGGGGAGUACGGUCGCAAGAUUAAAAACUCAAAGGAAUUGACGGG
rnacentral:rRNA from 1 species